GCUUGCUUCUUGGGUGACGAGCGGCGGACGGGUGAGUAAUGCAUAGGAAUCUGCCCGAUAGUGGGGGAUAACCUGGGGAAACCCAGGCUAAUACCGCAUACGUCCUACGGGAGAAAGGGGGCUCCGGCUCCCGCUAUUGGAUGAGCCUAUGUCGGAUUAGCUAGUUGGUGAGGUAAAGGCUCACCAAGGCGACGAUCCGUAGCUGGUCUGAGAGGAUGAUCAGCCACAUCGGGACUGAGACACGGCCCGAACUCCUACGGGAGGCAGCAGUGGGGAAUAUUGGACAAUGGGCGCAAGCCUGAUCCAGCCAUGCCGCGUGUGUGAAGAAGGCCUUCGGGUUGUAAAGCACUUUCAGCGAGGAAGAACGCCUAGCGGUUAAUACCCGCUAGGAAAGACAUCACUCGCAGAAGAAGCACCGGCUAACUCCGUGCCAGCAGCCGCGGUAAUACGGAGGGUGCAAGCGUUAAUCGGAAUUACUGGGCGUAAAGCGCGCGUAGGUGGCUUGAUAAGCCGGUUGUGAAAGCCCCGGGCUCAACCUGGGAACGGCAUCCGGAACUGUCAAGCUAGAGUGCAGGAGAGGAAGGUAGAAUUCCCGGUGUAGCGGUGAAAUGCGUAGAGAUCGGGAGGAAUACCAGUGGCGAAGGCGGCCUUCUGGACUGACACUGACACUGAGGUGCGAAAGCGUGGGUAGCAAACAGGAUUAGAUACCCUGGUAGUCCACGCCGUAAACGAUGUCGACCAGCCGUUGGGUGCCUAGCGCACUUUGUGGCGAAGUUAACGCGAUAAGUCGACCGCCUGGGGAGUACGGCCGCAAGGUUAAAACUCAA
rnacentral:rRNA from 1 species